rnacentral:misc_RNA from 1 species
GGGGAGGAGGGGGCUCCUCCCUGCUUGGGUGUGGGAAAUCGGUGGGUUUGCAUAUGAAAUCAUAUGCAAACCUCCCGUUUCUCCCGUAACCCUUGCUUUUCCCAAACGUUGGCUCGGAUGUCCCGUCGUUCUCCUGUCCCGUGUACGACUCAUGCCAAAUUCUGAUCCGUCGGUCGAACGGCUGUUCGGGUUGCAGAAAAGUACGUAUCGUGUCCGCACACGGUCAGGUCGAUGUGAUCUCGUGCCGCGUUGUCCCGUCGGUCCCGUGUACGAAUCGUGCCAAAUUCUGAUCCGACGGCCCAAGGGCCGUUCGGGUUGCAGAAAAGUACGUAUCGUUUCGCACAUGGUCAGCUUGACGGGAUAUCGUGCAGCCUUGUCCCUGCCGGUCCCGUGUACGUGUCCCGUGAAAUUCUGACCCAACAGCCUAACUUGGCUCGGGAAACAGGAAAGUAGCAUAUCCCGUGCAUGAGAUCGACUAGACAAAGUUGCAACGACGUUGCCUUUCCGAAUAUAGUUGCCCCCAAAACUUUAUCGUUGCGGGGGUGACACACGCGUGAUGUGGUCUCUCUGGACGCCUCCUUCGAGUAAACCUCCCGUGCAUUGCACGGGCGGAUGCUCGGUUGGCUUGACCGAUGUAGGCUACUAAACGCAUGAGCAGCUUUGGACCCGUGUCUGCUGGUAGAUCCCCCGUCGUUCGACGGCUGACUAUUGGCGCCGUGUCCUACCAAUCAGUUGGCUUUGUACCAUCGAUGGAUCAGGAAGUGCUUGCAUAUGAGUACCCGACAUACGGGAAGUGGCGCGUGAAAUAUAUGUUGCCACACGGCGGACGUCGUACGGGCGUUUUGCUGUGGCUGGAUUGCGCUUGUGGCGUUGCCUCGUAUCACGGGCAUGUAAUGUGCCUGUUGUUAUCAAGGCAACCUCGCUCGCGUCGUUGGUCUCGGAUGUUGCUCACGAUAAAGGCUCAUGGCCCUUUUGGUUGCCUCGACCCGACCCAAGCUCUUCGUGCUGAGAACAACCGGAACUAGGGUUGCCUCUACCUCUCCACAGUUACGUGGUAGGAUACGCAACUCUCUGUGCCGAUCCUCACGAACGAUGAGCUAUGCCCGCCGGAAAUCGACAACCGGCUUGGCUGUUGCCUCUGCGUCUCUAUGCAAGUGGAACCGGAGGACGACAACCAAUGCUGGACGUCAUCGAGGACGUGCUACCU